rnacentral:rRNA from 1 species
AUUGAACGCUGGCGGCAUGCUUUACACAUGCAAGUCGAACGGCAGCGCGGGCUUCGGCCUGGCGGCGAGUGGCGAACGGGUGAGUAAUACAUCGGAACGUGCCCAGUAGUGGGGGAUAGCUCGGCGAAAGCCGGAUUAAUACCGCAUACGACCUGAGGGUGAAAGCGGGGGAUCUUCGGACCUCGCGCUAUUGGAGCGGCCGAUGGCAGAUUAGCUAGUUGGUGGGGUAAAGGCCUACCAAGGCGACGAUCUGUAGCUGGUCUGAGAGGACGACCAGCCACACUGGGACUGAGACACGGCUCAGACUCCUACGGGAGGCAGCAGUGGGGAAUUUUGGACAAUGGGCGAAAGCCUGAUCCAGCAAUGCCGCGUGUGUGAUGAAGGCCUUCGGGUUGUAAAGCACUUUUGGCGGGAACGAAAAGGACUGUGCCAAUACCACGGUUCGAUGACGGUACCCGCAGAAUAAGCACCGGCUAACUACGUG